rnacentral:lncRNA from 1 species
UGAUUGAAACUCUUGUUUUCUCUCAAUUUUCCUCAAAAACGAAACUGAAUCGAAUAGAAUCGAUGAAGACCAAGAGAGAAACGAAUUCACGAUUACAAAGAGAAAUGUAAUCUCCGUGAGGCUCUUCUCUCUGAGUGUUUCUUGAACUUUUUGAAAACUGAAGCUUGAUUCGUUAUGGGUAGUUUGUUUUGGCGCGCUAUGUCUAACGGAUAGGUGGAGCAAUCACAUGCAUUCGGGUCUAUACAGGAAUACGUGCUCCCCAACACUUUGGGAUGGGAUGAAGGGUGAUGAUUG